rnacentral:rRNA from 1 species
GAUGAACGCUGGCGGCGUGCCUAAUACAUGCAAGUCGAACGAAACUUCUUUAUCACCGAGUGCUUGCACUCACCGAUAAAGAGUUGAGUGGCGAACGGGUGAGUAACACGUGGGCAACCUGCCCAAAAGAGGGGGAUAACACUUGGAAACAGGUGCUAAUACCGCAUAACCAUAGUUACCGCAUGGUAACUAUGUAAAAGGUGGCUAUGCUACCGCUUUUGGAUGGGCCCGCGGUGCAUUAGCUAGUUGGUGGGGUAAAGGCUUACCAAGGCAAUGAUGCGUAGCCGAACUGAGAGGUUGAUCGGCCACAUUGGGACUGAGACACGGCCCAAACUCCUACGGGAGGCAGCAGUAGGGAAUCUUCCACAAUGGGCGAAAGCCUGAUGGAGCAACGCCGCGUGGGUGAAGAAGGUCUUCGGAUCGUAAAACCCUGUUGUUAGAGAAGAAAGUGCGUGAGAGUAACUGUUCACGUUUCGACGGUAUCUAACCAGAAAGCCACGGCUAACUACGUGCCAGCAGCCGCGGUAAUACGUAGGUGGCAAGCGUUAUCCGGAUUUAUUGGGCGUAAAGGGAACGCAGGCGGUCUUUUAAGUCUGAUGUGAAAGCCUUCGGCUUAACCGGAGUAGUGCAUUGGAAACUGGGAGACUUGAGUGCAGAAGAGGAGAGUGGAACUCCAUGUGUAGCGGUGAAAUGCGUAGAUAUAUGGAAGAACACCAGUGGCGAAAGCGGCUCUCUGGUCUGUGACUGACGCUGAGGUUCGAAAGCGUGGGUAGCAAACAGG